UACGUAGGCAGCAAGCGUUGUUCGGAGUUACUGGGCGUAAAGGGUGUGUAGGCGGUUCUUUAAGUUUGGUGUGAAAUCUCCCGGCUUAACCGGGAGGGUGCGCCGAAUACUGAGGGACUAGAGUACGGGAGAGGAAAGUGGAAUUCCUGGUGUAGCGGUGAAAUGCGUAGAUAUCGGAAGGAACAUCAGAGGCGAAAGCGACUUCCUGGACCAAUACUGACGCUCAUGUGCGAAAGCGUGGGGAGCAAACAGG
rnacentral:rRNA from 1 species